rnacentral:hammerhead_ribozyme from 1 species
GCACUGAUGUGGAGUCCCACACUAGGACGAAACGGCUGUCCAGUGC